rnacentral:rRNA from 1 species
AUUGAACGCUGGCGGCAUGCCUUACACAUGCAAGUCGAACGGCAGCACGGGAGCAAUCCUGGUGGCGAGUGGCGAACGGGUGAGUAAUAUAUCGGAACGUGCCCAGUCAUGGGGGAUAACGUAGCGAAAGCUACGCUAAUACCGCAUACGAUCUAUGGAUGAAAGCGGGGGAUCGCAAGACCUCGCGCGAUUGGAGCGGCCGAUAUCAGAUUAGGUAGUUGGUGAGGUAAAGGCUCACCAAGCCGACGAUCUGUAGCUGGUCUGAGAGGACGACCAGCCACACUGGGACUGAGACACGGCCCAGACUCCUACGGGAGGCAGCAGUGGGGAAUUUUGGACAAUGGGCGCAAGCCUGAUCCAGCAAUGCCGCGUGCAGGAUG